rnacentral:rRNA from 1 species
UCCAAAGGCGAAAUGAAAGUGAAAGGUGGAGCAAUCCACCGGGGCCGAUCCUCGACUGCUGUUGAGGCCGCCGUGGUCGAAUCCCAUACCAAAGCGGGUGCCGCUUAAGGACGGGUUGUUGAGUGCGGGGUGAGCCACUUUCUCCCGCCGCCCGUCUGGCCCCGUGGGCGCCCGGCGUGUUUCCUCCAAGGUAGUCCGGAGACCUCGUGUCUCCGCCUGUUCGCAGGGGGGCGCAGGCCCGGGACUUGCCAUACGACGCCGUCGUGCGAAUCUGUUGUUGAUCACGUUGGCUUUGCUUGGGCUCUCGGUUGUUGGGGGCGCCGCGUGUCUGGGCGGGUCAUAUUCUGGCUCGCCCGGCGUGGUGUCUUCCCUUCCGAUCCUGCUCUGUCCGGCGUGGUCUAGCACGCGUGCUGUCGGCAAGUACCAUGAGCAGACAUGUUGGGACCCGAAAGAUGGUGAACUAUGCUUGGCCAGGAUGAAGCCAGAGGAAACUCUGGUGGAGGUCCGCAGCAAUUCUGACGUGCAAAU